AACGAACGCUGGCGGCAUGCCUAACACAUGCAAGUCGAACGAGACCUUCGGGUCUAGUGGCGCACGGGUGCGUAACGCGUGGGAAUCUGCCCUUUGCUUCGGAAUAACAGUUAGAAAUGACUGCUAAUACCGGAUGAUGUCUUCGGACCAAAGAUUUAUCGGCAAAGGAUGAGCCCGCGUAGGAUUAGGGUAGUUGGUGGGGUAAAGGCCUACCAAGCCGACGAUCCUUAGCUGGUCUGAGAGGAUGAUCAGCCACACUGGGACUGAGACACGGCCCAGACUCCUACGGGAGGCAGCAGUGGGAAUAUUGGACAAUGGGCGCAAGCCUGAUCCAGCAAUGCCGCGUGAGUGAUGAAGGCCUUCGGGUCGUAAAGCUCUUUACCAGGGAUGAUAAUGACAGU
rnacentral:rRNA from 1 species